rnacentral:rRNA from 1 species
GAUGAACGCUGGCGGCGUGCCUAAUACAUGCAAGUCGAGCGAACGGACGAGAAGCUUGCUGCUCUGAUGUUAGCGGAGGACGGGUGAGUAACACGUGGAUAACGUACCUAUAAGACGGGGAUAACUUCGGGAAACCGGAGCUAAUUGCGGAGAAGAUUUUGAACCGCAUGGUUCAAAAGUGAAAGACGGUGUUGCUGUAACUUAUAGAUGGAUACGGGCUGCAUUAGAUAGUUGGUAAGGUAACGGCUUACCAAGGCAACGAUGCAUAGCCGAACUGAGAGGGUGAUCGCCCACACUGGAACGUGAACGCCGUCCUUACUCCUACGGGAGGCAGCAGUAUGGAAUCUUCCGCAAUGGGCGAAAGCCUGACGCAGCAACGCCGCGUGAGUGAUGAAGAUCUUCGGAUCGUAAAACUCUGUUAUUAGGGAAGAACAUAUUUGUCAGGAACUGUGCACAGCUUGACGGUACCUAAUCAGAAAGCCACGGCUAACUACGUG